AAGAGCAGCCCGCAGACCGCAGGCCUCUGCUCUAGACCUCGGCUAGUGGCCGCUGCCGCUGGAGGCAGCUGCACCUGACGGCCUCCUCCUCCCGGGCUCCGCGGACAGAACUGAGUCCCAGGGGACGGCGGCGCAGGGGGCGCUCCAGCCUUGGUCUUACUCCUCCAUCCCUCUGUGGUCCUCAAAGAACCUUCCCGCCGGUCCCCGCCCCGUCCCACCCUCUGCCCCAAGCCCCGGUGCUGCCCCGCCCGCUCCCUCCUCCCGCCCCCCUCCCGCCGGUCGGGUCGAGCCCCAGGGGCCAGGUCCAGACCGGGAGGCGGUGGCCAGGAGGCUUGCGCGGGCGUGGGGCGGCCUCCAUCCAGCCGGGGCGGAGCCGGCGGCCGGGGCCUGGAGGCCCAGGCGCUCCCAGCCAUGGGCAGGGGGUCCCUGAGAGCUCGGAGGUCGCCGGUGCUGCGGUGGCUGCUGUCACUACUGCUGCUGUCUCCCGGACUGGUGCCUGGUGCCUGGGUGCUUCCAGGGAACACUUCUGCAGAGCCAGUCACCCCACACUGGAUCCUGGAUGGACGAUCCUGGAGCACCGUCACUUUGGAAGAGCUGAUCUGGAUGCCUGACUCCGGGCUGGUGGCCUUGGAGUCUGAGGGCCAGGCACUCCUGCUUGAGUUGGAGAACAGCCGGCUGCUGGCACCAGGAUACACAGAAACCCACUACGGCCAGGAUGGGCAGCCAGUGGUGCUGCUCCCCGAGCACAUGGACCACUGCCUCUACCAUGGACGAGUGAGGGGCUUCUCCAACUCCUGGGUCAUGCUCAGCACCUGCUCCCGGGUGAGAGGCCUGAUUGGGCUCAACAGCAAUGCCAGCUAUUACCUGCAUCCCUGGCCACCUGGGGACCCAGAGGACUGGUCAACCCACAGGAUUUUCCAAAUGGAGAGACUGCUCACCGGCAAAGGGACCUGUGGCUACAGGGAGCACAGGGACAAAGAGGGCAUGGCCAGGCUUCCUUCUGCCCCCCAAAGCAGGGACAAGCGAGAAGCGCCUAGGGGCCCGAGGUACCUGGAGCUGUACCUAGUAGCAGACCACUCCCUGUACUUGAUCCAGCACCAGAACUUGAACCACACCAAACAGCGUCUCCUGGAGAUUGCCAAUUAUGUAGACCAGCUCCUCAGGACCCUGGACAUUCAGGUGGUGCUGACCGGCCUGGAAGUGUGGACAGAGCAGGACCGCAGCCGCGUCACGGCCGACGCGAACGCCACGCUUUGGGACUUUCUGCAGUGGCGUCGGGAGCUAUGGGCACGGCGACCGCACGACUCCACACAGCUGCUCACGGGCCGCACUUUCCGGGGCUCCUCCGUGGGGCUGGCGCCCGUCGGGGGCAUAUGCCGCUCAGAGAGCUCGGGAGGCGUGAGCACGGACCAUUCGGAGCUCCCCAUCGGCGCUGCGGUCACCAUGGCCCACGAGAUCGGCCACAGCUUGGGCCUCAGCCACGACCCCGACGGCUGCUGCACAGAGCAAGGCGGCUGCGUCAUGGCCGCGGCCACGGGGCACCCGUUCCCGCGCGUCUUCAGCGCCUGCAGCCGCCGCCAGCUACGCGCCUUCUUCCGCAAGGGAGGCGGCGCGUGCCUCUCCAACGCCCCGGAGCCCGGGCUCCCGGUGCCGCCCUCGCGCUGCGGGAACGGCUUCGUGGAAGCGGGCGAAGAGUGCGACUGCGGGUCUGGCCAGAAGUGCCCGGACCCUUGCUGCUUCGCCCACAACUGCUCGCUGCGCGCGGGCGCCCAGUGCGCCCACGGGGACUGCUGCGCGCGCUGCCUGCUGAAGCCGGCUGGCUCGUUGUGCCGCCAGGCUGCGGGAGACUGCGACCUCCCUGAGUUCUGCACGGGCGCCUCGCCGCACUGUCCCCCGGAUGUUUACCUGCUGAAUGGCUGGCCCUGCGCCGGGGGCCGAGGCUACUGCCGGGACGGCGCGUGCCCCACGCUGGAGCAGCAGUGCGAGCAACUCUGGGGGCCUGGCUCCCGCCCAGCCCCUGAGGCCUGUUUCCAGCAGGGGAACCUCGCCGGAGACGCCUCUGGAAACUGUGGCCAGGAUGGCGCAGGCCGCUUCCUGCCUUGCGCUCAGAGGGACGCUCAGUGUGGGACGCUGCAGUGCCAGGGCGGGGAACCCAACCCCAUGGUGCCGCACAUGGCGCCUGUGGAGUCCACGGCUCGCUUCGAUGGCCACGAAGUGGCUUGCCGUGCAGCCCUGGUGCUCCCGGAUGCCCAACUGGACCCGCUGGACUUGGGCCUGGUAGAGCCAGGCACUCACUGUGGACCUGGAAUGGUGUGCCAAGACAGACACUGCCAGAACGCUUCCUCCCAGGAGCUGGAGCGCUGCCUGACUGCCUGCCACAACCGUGGAGUUUGCAAUAGCAACCAAAACUGCCACUGCUCUUCGGGCUGGGCUCCGCCCUUCUGUGACAAGCUAGGCUUCGGCGGCAGUGUAGACAGUGGCCCAGUGCGGCCUGAAAGUGGCAAUACCUUCCUGCUGGCAGUGCUCCUCAGCUUCCUGCUGUCUCUGCUCACCGGGGUGGGCCUGGCCUGGUGCUGCUUCCGACUCCCUGGGCUCCAGCUCCAGCGAUGCCCCUGGGGCUGUAGGAAGGACCCCGAAAGCAAUGGGCCCAAAGGCGGCCCACACAGGGACCACAGUGUAGGUGACGUUCAUCUUGUGCAGCUGGACCCUAGGGCCAUCGGAGACCCCUGGCCACUGGGGGCUCCAGCCGACUGUGCUGAGCACUCAUUCUCCACAUUUGCUCCCAGCCCCUGAGAACCCUGCCCAAGCCCAGCAGCUACCCUGGGAAGCCUGAGCCCUGCAGCCCUUUUACCUCUGAGGUCAAGUCCAGAUACCAAGACUCUAUUACGGGGGAUAGGUGACCACUGACGGCCACUCUAGGAGAUUGAAUCCCAAGGAUAGACUCAGGGAGUCAACUGAUCCAUGUCUUCCAAAGCUUGGAGGUUUCUUCCUGCCCUGCUGAGCCACUCCAGGACCCCAGAGCCUCAUCAGAAGUUUCCUGAUACCGUCCCUGGUCCUGCGGGCUGGGGCAUGCCCUCCAGCCUAAACAUCCAUCACAGAGGAGCGAAGCCUCACAGUCCCCAGCCUGCAGUAGGGAGCCCUCUGUUAUGGGUGUUGCUGCGUCUCCUGCACUUUCCCUCCGUGCAGCUCUGUGGGGGCAGGGCCUCCUGGACCCCAACAUUUCUGAUGGAACGUACAUUUCCAGGAGCCUGAGUCUUGCAAACAAGCACACAAAACCACCGGGACCACCUUUCCAGUCUCCCCCUGCUCCAUCCGGUACCUUGGCUGCUUCUGUAGCCCCCACCCUGACUGCUAGCUUUCCACCUGAGGCUGCAGAGGGUGUGGUCCUCUGUAGCCCCUUCCCUGGGACAUUGCUUAGUCCUUCCCCAUUCUGUGGGAAGGGUCAGGGGAGCCAGGUCAGGAAAGACAGCAGUGUAGUCAUGAGAAAGAUAGGCUUCUGUUUUUUCUGUUGUAAAUUGAACCCCUUGAGGUGUCUUGAGGGUCACCUGGGUUGGCUGGUGGUGGGUGGAGCCUCCAGUGACAGCCAGGGUUCAUCCGGCCUCAGCAGGGCAUCACCCAGGGAAUUACCCCUUUGCUUGCCUCUCCUGUCCCCUUAGAUAUUCUCAUCUCCCAUUGCUCAUGCCAGAGUUGCUGAGUGACUUUCUGUAUCAGAUAGCUGUUGCUAUGUAACAAAAUCAUUUCCAAAACCAAGUUGCUUAAAUCAACAGGCACCCCACCAUAUUUCUGAGGGUGUGAAGAAUCAGGAAUCUUCGUAGUCUAUCAUUGGCAGCCAAAGAGGUAGCAACCCCAACUCAUCUGUAGCUCAUUCUGUCAUGGUUCUAAUAAAUAUCCCAAGUUAGUUUUA